AUGGGUGAGUUUUGCAAUAUCCAUUGCUUCAAUUUGGCGAUACUGGCUAAAAAAGUGUGGCAUCUUCUUGAGAACCAAGAAUCUUUAUGUACUCCAAUUUUGAAAGCCAAGUAUUUCCCAGAUGAUGAUUUGCUGAAUACAAAACUAAAAAAAGGCUCAUCUUUUACUUUGCAAAGUAUAAUGGUGGGAGUAAAUUCUUUGAAUCACCGUUAUAUAUGGAGAGUUGGUAAUGGGUAG
rnacentral:rRNA from 1 species